rnacentral:rRNA from 1 species
UACGUAGGGUGCGAGCGUUAAUCGGAAUUACUGGGCGUAAAGCGUGCGCAGGCGGUUCGUUGUGUCGGUGGUGAAAUCCCCGGGCUUAACCUGGGAAUGGCCAUGGAAACUGGCGAACUGGAGUGCGGCAGAGGGGGGUGGAAUUCCGCGUGUAGCAGUGAAAUGCGUAGAGAUGCGGAGGAACACCGAUGGCGAAGGCAGCCCCCUGGGCUAACACUGACGCUCAGGCACGAAAGCGUGGGGAGCAAACAGG